rnacentral:rRNA from 1 species
UGAGGAAUAUUGGGCAAUGCCCGAAAGGGUGACCCAGCAACGCCGCGUGGAGGAUGAAGGUCGUAAGAUCGUAAACUCCUGUUAGAGGGGAAGAAUAACUAAGUUUGGAGCUUAGUAUGACUGUACCCUCAGAGAAAGCCCCGGCUAACUACGUGCCAGCAGCCGCGGUAAUACGUAGGGGGCAAGCGUUGUCCGGAUUUACUGGGUGUAAAGGGCGCGCAGGCGGAAUGGAAAGUCAGUGGUGAAAUCCUACAGCUUAACUGUAGAACUGCCUUUGAUACUUUCAUUCUUGAGUUCGGGAGAGAGAGACGGAAUUCCAGGUGUAGUGGUGAAAUACGUAGAUAUCUGGAAGAACACCAGUUGCGAAGGCGGUCUCUUGGUCCGAUACUGACGCUGAGGCGCGAAAGCGUGGGGAGCAAACA